rnacentral:rRNA from 1 species
AUGGUCCUACGGGAGGCAGCAGUGGGGAAUAUUGCGCAAUGGGGGCAACCCUGACGCAGCAACGCCGCGUGAUUGAAGAAGGCCUUCGGGUUGUAAAGAUCUUUAAGCAGGGACGAAGAAAUGACGGUACCUGAAGAAUAAGCUCCGGCUAACUACGUGCCAGCAGCCGCGGUAAUACGUAGGGAGCAAGCGUUAUCCGGAUUUACUGGGUGUAAAGGGCGUGUAGGCGGGCCUGUAAGUCAGAAGUGACAUCUGGGGGCUUAACCCCCAACCUGCUUUUGAAACUGCGGGUCUUGAGUGAUGGG